ACUCAAAGGAAUAGACGGGUCCCCGCACAAGCAGCGGAGCGUGUGGUUUAAUUCGUUGCUACACGAAGAACCUUACCUGGGUUUGACAUAGCAGUGUUAGGGAAGCGAAAGCAGACCGACCCUUCGGGGAACUGUUACAGGUGUUGCAUGGCUGUCGUCAGCUCGUGUCGUGAGAUGUUCGGUUAAGUCCGCUAACGAGCGCAACCCUCGCUGUGUGUUACAAGUGUCACACGGUACUGCCGGUAUUAAGUCGGAGGAAGGUGGGGAUGACGUCAAGUCAGCAUGACCUUUAUAUCCAGGGCUACACACACGCUACAAUGGUCAGUACAAUAGGUUGCCAAGCCGCGAGGCGGAGCCAAUCCUAAAAAGCUGGCCUCAGUUCAGAUUGCAGUCUGCAACUCGACUGCAUGAAGUUGGAGUUGCUAGUAACCGCAGGUCAGCUAUACUGCGGUGAAUACGUUCCCGGGGAUUGUACACACCGCCCGU
rnacentral:rRNA from 1 species